UACGUAGGGUGCGAGCGUUGUCCGGAAUUAUUGGGCGUAAAGAGCUCGUAGGCGGUCUGUCGCGUCGAAUGUGAAAACCCGGGGCUCAACUCCGGGCUUGCAUUCGAUACGGGCAGGCUAGAGUUCGGUAGGGGAGUCUGGGAAUUCCUGGUGUAGCGGUGAAAUGCGCAGAUAUCAGGAGGAACACCGAUGGCGAAGGCAGGUCUCUGGGCCGAUACUGACGCUGAGGAGCGAAAGGCGUGGGGAGCGAACAGG
rnacentral:rRNA from 1 species